AGAUGUUUUAAAACUACAAUUUCCAUGAUGCUUUGGCAUUGUAAAGACAUGCAAAGCAUCAUGGGAGUUGUAGUUCUGUAACA